rnacentral:rRNA from 1 species
CCUACGGGAGGCAGCAGUGGGGAAUUUUGGACAAUGGGCGCAAGCCUGAUCCAGCAAUGCCGCGUGCAGGAUGAAGGCCUUCGGGUUGUAAACUGCUUUUGUACGGAACGAAACGGUCUGCCCUAAUACGGUGGGCUAAUGACGGUACCGUAAGAAUAAGCACCGGCUAACUACGUGCCAGCAGCCGCGGUAAUACGUAGGGUGCGAGCGUUAAUCGGAAUUACUGGGCGUAAAGCGUGCGCAGGCGGUUAUAUAAGACAGAUGUGAAAUCCCCGGGCUCAACCUGGGACCUGCAUUUGUGACUGUAUAGCUAGAGUACGGUAGAGGGGGAUGGAAUUCCGCGUGUAGCAGUGAAAUGCGUAGAUAUGCGGAGGAACACCGAUGGCGAAGGCAAUCCCCUGGACCUGUACUGACGCUCAUGCACGAAAGCGUGGGGAGCAAACAGGAUUAGAUACCCUGGUAGUCCACGCCCUAAACGAUGUCAACUGGUUGUUGGGUCUUCACUGACUCAGUAACGAAGCUAACGCGUGAAGUUGACCGCCUGGGGAGUACGGCCGCAAGGUUGAAACUCAAAUGAAUUGACGG